GGGUUAAAUGGGUUCCUGUUUUGGCUGCCUAUUGUUAAGGAAUGGUGCCUCUCGUUGCCCCCUUCCUCCUGUCGCCCUUCGCGGGCAGCAGGAGGACGUCGCGGCAGUGCUUGUGUCCCGAUCAAUCCGCGGGUCGCCGCGAGAUGGUGAAGGUCCGCGAGUUUCUGCUUGUGAUCUCGGAUGCGGAGCAUUAAGCUGGCGGUGGGGUCUUCGGGCUCCGGUCGUCCAAUUUGAAGCGUUUUCGCUCGACACGCACGACCGUCGUGCCCGCGGCGAGCUCUCGACCCGCAAGGUCGUUUGUCUCGAG
rnacentral:misc_RNA from 1 species